AUCCCAUGGUGUGGGCACUUCCUCAAUAACUCUUUAAAUAUCUCCCAAGCUUCAUAAAGGAUUCAUCUUCCAGCUACUGAAAAGGCAUGAUUUCAUUGCGAAACUU